AGAUUAAGUUAUUAAGGGCGCACGGUGGAUGCCUUGGCACUAGAAGCCGAUGAAGGACGUUACUAACGACGAUAUGCUUUGGGGAGCUGUAAGUAAGCUUUGAUCCAGAGAUUUCCGAAUGGGGAAACCCAGCAUGAGUUAUGUCAUGUUAUCGAUAUGUGAAUACAUAGCAUAUCAGAAGGCACACCCGGAGAACUGAAACAUCUUAGUACCCGGAGGAAGAGAAAGAAAAUUCGAUUCCCUUAGUAGCGGCGAGCGAAACGGGAAGAGCCCAAACCAAAAAGCUUGCUUGUUGGGGUUGUAGGACACUCUAUACGGAGUUACAAAGGACGACAUUAGACGAAUCAUCUGGAAAGAUGAAUCAAAGAAGGUAAUAAUCCUGUAGUCGAAAAUGUUGUCUCUCUUGAGUGGAUCCUGAGUACGACGGAGCACGUGAAAUUCCGUCGGAAUCUGGGAGGACCAUCUCCUAAGGCUAAAUACUCUCUAGUGACCGAUAGUGAACCAGUACCGUGAGGGAAAGGUGAAAAGCACCCCGGAAGGAGAGUGAAAUAGAACCUGAAACCGUGUGCUUACAAGUAGUCAGAGCCCGUUAAUGGGUGAUGGCGUGCCUUUUGUAGAAUGAACCGGCGAGUUACGAUUUGAUGCAAGGUUAAGCAGUAAAUGUGGAGCCGUAGCGAAAGCGAGUCUGAAUAGGGCGUUUAGUAUUUGGUCGUAGACCCGAAACC
rnacentral:rRNA from 1 species